rnacentral:rRNA from 1 species
CCUACGGGGGGCUGCAGUGGGGAAUAUUGGACAAUGGGCGAAAGCCUGAUCCAGCCAUGCCGCGUGUGUGAAGAAGGCCUUCGGGUUGUAAAGCACUUUCAGUGGGGAAGAAAGCCUUGGGGCUAAUACCCUCGAGGAAGGACAUCACCCACAGAAGAAGCACCGGCUAACUCCGUGCCAGCAGCCGCGGUAAUACGGAGGGUGCGAGCGUUAAUCGGAAUUACUGGGCGUAAAGCGCGCGUAGGCGGUCUGAUAAGCCGGUUGUGAAAGCCCCGGGCUCAACCUGGGAACGGCAUCCGGAACUGUCAAGCUAGAGUGCAGGAGAGGAAGGUAGAAUUCCCGGUGUAGCGGUGAAAUGCGUAGAGAUCGGGAGGAAUACCAGUGGCGAAGGCGGCCUUCUGGACUGACACUGACGCUGAGGUGCGAAAGCGUGGGUAGCAAACAGGAUUAGAUACCCUUGUAGUC